GCAGCAUAAAUACAAUUUGCGCUCCCUUUAACGGCCCUUUACACUGCUGGAGAGGUGCAUAGUGUAAAGGCGCAGGAGUCUUCUAAUAUUUAUCCUUCGCAACGGAAAAUUGCCUUUGCCCUCCUGUGUUUUACAACGGCCCUUCUCUUGUACGUGCAUUACAGAAAACGUGUCAACACCUUGCGGCUGGUUUGCUAAAUACUUUAGAUUGAUAGGAAAGAGUCACGAUUGUUUUUUUUUUAAAUCUAACUCCCUCACCCACCCCUCCAAAAAAAAAUACAUCCAGUUGUUUUAAAAGCGGUUCCCUCUUCAGUUUUCCAGUUAAGCCAUGUCGUCGCUAGGGAAAAGUGAAGACAAGGCCAUAGAGACUCAAUGAUCUGGAUAAGCACAAAUAAGCUGCCCACAGCGCUGCACAAAGACGGCCUUUUUGGAAGAGGAAGACAAAGCGCAACCUUUUUCUGGAAUUCGAGGAUAAAGACGUCUCUUUCUGGGAAUUGUUUACACCUGGACACCAGGGAGCAGACUGAACAGCCAAAAAAGACUGAGAUGACCUUCUGAUGGCCCAUGUGUUGGCAAGGACCCUCACGCUGCAAGUAUCUGAUGUUUCAAAUAAUUUACUAUUCUGCGAAGGUCUUUUCUGCUAAUGCAGCUCCCACUUCCCAGAGCAGCCCUGCUGGUUCUCUCCCCCUGGUUUCUUUCCCAUGGGACGCAUGGGAUUUGAAAAUAAAUACACGGCGUUAUCUGCAAAGCGCGUUCGCCUGGCUCUUCAAAUGCAUAAUUCCUCUUCUUAAUGGGAAACGUCGCUCUGCCCAAAUAGGAGACCUGGCAUAGGACACAAAUCUCUCUCCAGAGGAGACCUGCUGAUUUCAAGGAGCGAGGAUCUUCUCUGAUAAGCACCAGCCAGCUUCCCUCCCUGUCACAGCUCAUGCAGCCUCGGGCUGCCCUCUGUUGGCAUUUUACAAGGUUGACAUUUGCUUAAUAAAGACUCUUGGCCUCUUU